rnacentral:rRNA from 1 species
GACGAACGCUGGCGGCGUGCUUAACACAUGCCAGUCGAACGGAAAGGCCCUGCUUUUGUGGGGUGCUCGAGUGGCGAACGGAUGAGUAACACGUGAGUAACCUGCCCUUGACUUUGGGAUAACUUCAGGAAACUGGGGCUAAUACCGGAUCGGAGCUCCUGCUGCAUGGAGGGGGUUGGAACGAUUCGGCGGUAGGGGCUGGACGCGCGGGUUAUCAGCUUGUGGGUGGGGUAGUGGCUUACCACGUCUCUGCCGGGUAGACGGCCUGGGAGGGUGACCAGCGACAUGGGGACUACGGGACGGCCCAGACUCGUACGGGGGGCAACAGGGGGGAAUAUUGCACAAUGGGGGGGAGCGUGAUGCAGCGACGCCGCGGUCGGGAUGACGGCCUUCGGGGUGUGAACCGGUUUCGCCUGAGACGAAGCGUGAGUGACGGUAAUGGGUAAAGAAGCACCGGCUAACUACGUG